rnacentral:rRNA from 1 species
UGGGGAAUCUUCCGCAAUGGACGAGAGUCUGACGGAGCAACGCCGCGUGAGUGAAGAAGGUUUUCGGAUCGUAAAACUCUGUCUUUUGGGGCGAACGUGAGUAUGGUGAACAAUCAUAGUCAGUGACGGUACCAAAGGAGGAAGCCACGGCUAACUACGUGCCAGCAGCCGCGGUAAUACGUAGGUGGCAAGCGUUGUCCGGAAUUAUUGGGCGUAAAGAGCGCGUAGGCGGGAUAGUCAGUCUGUUGUAAAAGUGCGGGGCUCAACCCCGUGAUGGCAAUGGAAACAGCUAUUCUUGAGUGCAGGAGAGGAAAGUGGAAUUCCCAGUGUAGCGGUGAAAUGCGUAGAUAUUGGGAGGAACACCAGUGGCGAAGGCGACUUUCUGGGCUGUGUCUGACGCUGAGGCGCGAAAGCCAGGGGAGCGAACGGGAUUAGAUACCCCGGUAGUCCUGGCCGUAAACGAUGGGUACUAGGUGUGGGAGGUAUCGACCCCUUCCGUGCCGGAGUUAACGCAAUAAGUACCCCGCCUGGGGAGUACGGUCGCAAGACUGAAACUCAAAUGAAUUGAC